UCACACUUACUCCACCUUUUCCAACGUUCACAGCCGUGCCCCCAGGCUUCUCUUUUCCUGUAUUGACGUUUGCACUGCCACCCCCUACGUUGAAAGAGAUUACCAGCCUGCUUCCCUGAUUGCAUGAUUGUGUGAUCUGUUAAGAGUAUUAAGCCAAUCCUAUAGGGAAAAGAAAGAUGCGAUCUUCCUAAGUCCUCACUUCCCUGAACCUCUCAAGGUGCUUUUUCACUUGGGCUACUUCAACAAAACAAAUUUAUGUGAUGGUGCUGCUUUGCUGUCAGGUAUGACCACAUUUCAUUGCUGACAUUUCUGGCCCUUUCUUGCUAGUUUUGAGUCCCAGCAAACUUUGUGUUGUUGUCACUGUCGUAACUUUCAUGUCAGUGUGCUGUUAACCUUGAAAGAAACCUUUAGGUGUGGAAUGAAUUGAAGGUGCUCUUUCACUUGGGCUACUUCAACAAACCAAAUUUAUGUGACGGUGCUGCUUCGCC